GCUGCCCACUGUUUUAUAAAGGGCUGCAGUAUUUUGACUGUGCAAAGGUAGCAUAGUAGAUUGCCUUUUAAGAGGGGGCUGGAAUGAAAGGUUUAACAAGGCUAAAGCUGUUCCCUUAAGUUAGUCAAAUUUAGAGUUACUGUAAAAAUUCAGUAAUAAAACUAAGGGACGAUAAGACCCUAUAAAUUUUAGUAAGUUUCGUGCUGUUAAAGAAAACAAUCAGUGCUGGUUUUACUUAGUUGGGGCAACAUUAAUGAGGAAAUCAUUAAUUUUAAAACAGGACUACUGGAAGUAAGAGCCGGGCGUACCGCAAGGGAUAAAAAUACUUUAGGGAUAACAGCGUUAUUGCUUCGGAGAGUUCCAAUUUAUGAAGCAGAUUACGACCUCGAUGUUGAAUUAAGAUAACUUUUAGGUGCAGCCGCUUAAAUAUGUUAGCCUGUUCGGCUAUAUUACUCUUACGUGAUCUGAGUU
rnacentral:rRNA from 1 species